UACGUAGGGUGCAAGCGUUGCCCGGAUUUAUUGGGCGUAAAGCGCUCGCAGGUGGUUCGAUGCGUCGUGCGUGAAAGACCCCGGCUCAACUGGGGAGGGUCGUGCGAUACGGUCGAACUGGAGGCCAGUAGGGGGAUGCGGAAUUCCGGGUGUAGUGGUGGAAUGCGUAGAGAUCCGGAGGAACACCAGCGGCGAAGGCGGCAUCCUGGACUGGUCCUGACACUCAUGAGCGAAAGCGUGGGGAGCGAUCCGG
rnacentral:rRNA from 1 species